CCUCGGGAGGCAGCAGUGAGGAAUAUUGGUCAAUGGCCGAGAGGCUGAACCAGCCAAGUCGCGUGAGGGAAGACGGCCCUACGGGUUGUAAACCUCUUUUGUCGGGGAGCAAUAAGGGCCACGCGUGGCCCGAUGAGAGUACCGCACGAAUAAGCAUCGGCUAACUCCGUGCCAGCAGCCGCGGUAAUACGGGGGAUGCGAGCGUUAUCCGGAUUUAUUGGGUUUAAAGGGUGCGUAGGCGGCGCUUCAGGUCAGCGGUGAAAUACCGGGGCUCAACCCCGGGGCUGCCGUUGAAACCGGAGCGCUAGAAUUCCGAUGCCGUCGGAGGAAUGUGUGGUGUAGCGGUGAAAUGCAUAGAUAUCACACAGAACACCGAUUGCGAAGGCAUCUGACGAAUCGGAGAUUGACGCUGAUGCACGAAAGCGUGGGUAUCGAACAGGAUUAGAUACCCGAGUAGUC
rnacentral:rRNA from 1 species